rnacentral:rRNA from 1 species
UAAGGAAUAUUGCGCAAUGGACGAAAGUCUGACGCAGCAACGCCGCGUGCAGGAUGAAGGCCCUUUGGGUUGUAAACUGCUGUAGCAGGGGAAUAAGUUCUCCCUCGGGGAGAGUGAAGGUACCCUGAAAGUAAGCGCCGGCUAACUACGUGCCAGCAGCCGCGGUAAUACGUAGGGCGCAAGCGUUGUCCGGAUUCACUGGGUGUAAAGGGUGCGCAGGCGGGAAAGUAAGUUAGAGGUGAAAUCUCACAGCUCAACUGUGAAACGGCCUUUGAUACUGCUUUUCUUGAGUUAGGGAGAGGUUGAUGGAAUUCCAGGUGUAGCGGUGAAAUGCGUAGAUAUCUGGAAGAACACCGGUGGCGAAGGCGGUCAACUGGCCCUAAACUGACGCUCAGGCACGAAAGCGUGGGGAUCAAACAG